GAAGAAAGAGGGAGGCGUGCCUAAUACAUGCAAGUUGAGCGAUGAAGAUUGGUGCUUGCACCAAUUUGAAGAGCAGCGAACGGGUGAGUAACGCGUGGGGAAUCUGCCUUUGAGCGGGGGACAACAUUUGGAAACGAAUGCUAAUACCGCAUAACAACUUUAAACAUAAGUUUUAAGUUUGAAAGAUGCAAUUGCAUCACUCAAAGAUGAUCCCGCGUUGUAUUAGCUAGUUGGUGAGGUAAAGGCUCACCAAGGCGAUGAUACAUAGCCGACCUGAGAGGGUGAUCGGCCACAUUGGGACUGAGACACGGCCCAAACUCCUACGGGAGGCAGCAGUAGGGAAUCUUCGGCAAUGGACGAAAGUCUGACCGAGCAACGCCGCGUGAGUGAAGAAGGUUUUCGGAUCGUAAAACUCUGUUGGUAGAGAAGAACGUUGGUGAGAGUGGAAAGCUCAUCAAGUGACGGUAACUACCCAGAAAGGGACGGCUAACUACGUG
rnacentral:rRNA from 1 species